AGCUGUGACGGCGUACCUUUUGUAUAAUGGGUCAGCGAGUUAAUUUUGCGAGCGAGCUUAAGCCGUUAGGUGUAGGCGCAGGGAAACCGAGUGUUAAUAGCGCGAUAUAGUUCGUAGGAUUAGACCCGAAGCCCGGUGAUCUAGCCAUGAGCAGGUUGAAGGUGAGGUAACACUCACUGGAGGACCGAACCCACUUAUGUUGAAAAAUGAGGGGAUGACUUGUGGCUAGGGGUGAAAGGCCAAUCAAACUCGGAAAUAGCUGGUUCUCCGCGAAAUCUAUUUAGGUAGAGCGUCGGAUGAAUACUCUCGGGGGUAGAGCACUGGAUGGGCUAUGGGGGCUUACCGCCUUACUGAUCCUAACCAAACUCCGAAUACCGAGAAGUACUAUCCGGCAGACACACAGUGGGUGCUAACGUCCAUUGUGGAGAGGGAAACAACCCUGACCGCCAGUUAAGGUCCCUAAGUUAUGGCUAAGUGGGAAAGGAUGUGAGAGUGCAUAGACAACCAGGAUGUUGGCUUAGAAGCAGCCAUCAUUUAAAGAAAGCGUAACAGCUCACUGGUCUAAAUAAGGGUUUCUGCGCCGAAGAUGUAACGGGGCUCAAGCCACGAGCCGAAGCUUAGGGUGUGCGCAAGCACGCGGUAGCGGAGCGUUCU
rnacentral:rRNA from 1 species